UAUCGUGUUUACUUUUAUCAUCAUGAACCCUGAAGAGUGUUUGGAUACUUCAGCCACCGCUCUGAAUGGCAGCUGGUUAAAGUGGACUACAAGUCCAUUUUCGACAGAUGGUGUGCCGAGGAGGACUACAGGCCUUGGCAGCUACACAGCCAGGGGGAAGCAUGCAUCAUGGGAGCCAAGAGGAUAUACAAGAAGCGAAAAUCCGAGCGGAACUGUAUGCAAGGAAAAUAUGCAGGAGCUAUGGAAUCUGAACCCUGUGUUUGCACAGAAGCUGAUUUUGACUGUGACUAUGGCUAUGAGCGACACAGCAAUGGGCAGUGCCUGCCAGCAUUUUGGUUCAAUCCAUCCUCUCUCUCAAAGGACUGCAGCAUUGGACAGAGCUACCUCAAUAGUACUGGGUAUAGAAAGGUGGUUUCCAAUAACUGCACUGAUGGCGUGCGAGAACAGUACACAGCCAAACCACAGAAGUGUCCGGGGAAGGCCCCUCGUGGCCUCCGGAUCGUCACUGCAGAUGGAAAGCUGACUGCAGAACAGGGGCACAAUGUCACUCUCAUGGUGCAGCUGGAAGAG
rnacentral:lncRNA from 1 species